rnacentral:rRNA from 1 species
GAUGAACGCUGGCGGCGUGCCUAAUACAUGCAAGUCGAGCGAACAGACGAGGAGCUUGCUCCUCUGACGUUAGCGGCGGACGGGUGAGUAACACGUGGAUAACCUACCUAUAAGACUGGGAUAACUUCGGGAAACCGGAGCUAAUACCGGAUAAUAUAUUGAACCGCAUGGUUCAAUAGUGAAAGACGGUUUUGCUGUCACUUAUAGAUGGAUCCGCGCCGCAUUAGCUAGUUGGUAAGGUAACGGCUUACCAAGGCGACGAUGCGUAGCCGACCUGAGAGGGUGAUAAGCCACACUGGAACUGAGACACGGUCCAGACUCCUACGGGAGGCAGCAGUAGGGAAUCUUCCGCAAUGGGCGAAAGCCUGACGGAGCAACGCCGCGUGAGUGAUGAAGGUCUUCGGAUCGUAAAACUCUGUUAUUAGGGAAGAACAAAUGUGUAAGUAACUAUGCACGUCUUGACGGUACCUAAUCAGAAAGCCACGGCUAACUACGUG